CCCCCCAGUGCGACCACCUCCCCCUCCCGAUCGCGUCACACUCAAGGUCCAAAGAUGGUGUGCGCACUUGUCUGUGGUCAUUUCCCAUUAUAAUGAAUGGGAGGCGCAGUUUCUACCAAAACGGUCGCUGCAGACAAACUACACGUCCUAUUUGAAAAAAGUCUGGACCAUGAGUGAGGGCACAAACACAGCUAGGAUAUAUCCAAAUGGCAGGUUGCUCCUCCUUACGGUGUUGCCUGGAGAGCGAUGCGAUUGAGUCAUUGAGCGAUGGGCAGGAAAAACUUGACUUUUUCUCCUGCCAUGGGGGGGGGGGGGGGGGGGGGAUGUGGAUUCUUUUAAGAAUGUGGAUUUUUGGGUCAUCUUUGGCGCCCCCUAGAACCUAAACCGUGGGGUGCAGCGUCAUGAUUUGAAUAACUUUUAAUGGCCAUGGGGUGUAGAUUGACCUGAGCAAAUGUUGUGCUGAUGGAACGAAAGCCUUCAGAGGAGUUAGCGAAAUUCCGAUGUGUGUGGAUCGGCAAAAAAUGCGAAAUAACCCUUUAACCGUACAUUUUACAGAUACGCGCGCAUUGACUUUUUCGUAGAUCAUAUUGAGAUACACGUGAUUGUCAAAUUUUGUGUCAAUAUGACAAAGCAUGCAGGUGUCACACUCAACAAUGUGAAUUUUCACCUUAGGCGACAAGAAAAAAUGGACUUUUUUCUCCUGCCAUGUGGGGGCGCUCUUUUGGGGAGUAAAAAUUCCUUCACAAAUGUGUUGAUGGCUGGACAUUGCAUCAUCCUAGAAAACUUGGAGGCCAGUGGGGACAAAAAUAAAAAGUUAUAAGACUUUUAAAUAUGUGGAUUUUUGGGUUAUCUUUGGCGCCCCCUAGAACCUAAACCGUGGGGUGCAGCGUCAUGAUUUGAAUAACUUUUAAUAGCCAUGGGGUGUAGAUUGACCUGAGCAAAUGUUGUGCUGAUGGAACGAAAGCCUUCAGAGGAGUUAGCGAAAUUCCGAGGUGUGUGGAUCGGCAAAAAAUGCGAAAUAACCCUUUAACCGUAAAUUUGACAGAAAGGCCUGCACUGACUUUUUUGUAGAUCUUUUGAGAUACAUGUGUGUGUCAAUUUUUGUGUCAAUAUGACAAAGCGUACAGCUGUGACAAUCAAUAGUGUGAAUAGUGUGAGCCAUUGAGCGAUGGGCAGGAAAAACUUGACUUUUUCUCCUGCCAUGGGGGGGCGCUCUUUUGGGGAGUAAAAAUUCCUUCACAAAUGUGUUGAUGGCUAGACAUUGCAUCAUCCUAGAAAACUUGGAAGCCAGUGAGGACAAAAAUGAAAAGUUAUAAGACUUUUCAUAAUGUGGAUUUUUGGGUUAUCUUUGGUGCCCCCUAGAACGUAAACCGUGGGGUGCAGCGUCAUGAUUUGUACAACUUUUAAUGGCCAUGGGGUGUAGAUUGGCCUGAGCAAAUUUGGUGCCGGUGGAACGAAAGCUUUAGGAGGAGUUAGCUACAUUCCAAUGUGUGCGAAUCGAUCAAAAAUGCGUAAUAGCCCUUUAACCGUACAUUUUACAGAUACAUGCGCAUUGACUUUUUCGUAGAUCUUAUUGAGAUACACGUGAUUGUCAAAUUUUGUUUCAAUAUGACAAAGUGUACAGGCGUGACACUCAACAAUGUGUAUUUUCACCUUAUGGGACAAGAAAAAAUGGACUUUUUUCUCCUGCCAAGGGGGGGCGCUCUUUUGGGGAGUAAAAAUUCCUUCACAAAUGUGUUGAUGGCUGGACAUUGCAUCAUCCUAGAAAACUUGGAGGCCAGUGAGGACAAAAAUAAAAAGUUAUAAGACUUUUAAGACUGUGGAUUUUUGGGUUAUAUUUGGCGCCCCCUAGAACGUAAACCGUGGGGUGCAGCGUCAUGAUUUGUACAACUUUUAAUGGCCAUGGGGUGUAGAUUGGCCUGAGCAAAUUUGGUGCCGGUGGAACGAAAGCCUUCGGAGGAGUUAGCGAAAUUCCACUGUGUGCGGAUCGGCAAAAAAUGCGAAAUAGCCCUUUAACCAUACAUUUGACAGAUACGCCCGCACUGACUUUUUUGUAGAUCUUAUUGAGAUACACGUGUGUGUCAAAUUUUGUGUCAUUUUGACAAAGCGUACAGGUGUGACACUCAAUCAAGUGAAUUUUUCACCUUAGGGGGCGCUAUGGAGCCAUUUUGCAUUUGAUUGUUUGGCCGACUUCAGAAUAUCGAAUUUUUCACCAGGCCCGGUCGUCCUGCCAAAUUUCAUGAGUUUUCACCAUUGGGAAGUGGGCCAUUUUCCAGUUCAAAGGGGCAGAAAAAUAACUAGGGCCCCGGUGGGGCACUGUCGGGCCCGAGCCGCGUCGCGCCGCCCCCAGCGCCACCGCCUCCCCCUCCCGAUCACGUCACACCCAAGGUCCAAAGAUGGUGUGCACUCUUGUCUGUGGUCAUUUCCCAUUAUAAUGAAUGGGAGGCGCAGUUUCUACCAAAACGGUCGCUGCAGACAAACUACAUGUCCUAUUUGAAAAAAGUCUGGACCAUGAGUGAGGGCACAAACACAGCUAGGAUAUAUCCAAAUGGCAAGUUGCUCCUCCUUACGGUGUUGCCGGGAGAGCGAGGCGAUUGAGCCAUUGAGCGAUGGGCAGGGUUAACUUGACUUUUUCUCCUGCCUUGGGGGGGGGGGGGGGGGGGAUGUGGAUUCUAUUAAGAAUGUGGAUAUUUGGGUCAUCUUUGGCGCCCCCUAGAACGUAAACCGUGGGGUGCAGCGUCAUGAUUUUUACAACUUUGAAUGGCCAUGGGAUGUAGAUCGGCUUGAGCAAAUUUGGUGUCGGUGGGACGAAAGCCUUAGGAGGAGUUAGCCACAUUCCAAUGUGUGCGAAUCGGCAAACAAUGCGAAGUAGCCCUUUAACCGUACAUUUUACAGAUACGUGCCCAUUGACUUUUUCGUAGAUCUUAUUGAGAUACACAUGAUUGUCAAUUUUUGUGUCAUUUUGACAAAGCGUAUAGGCGUGACAUUCAACAAUGUGUUUUUUCACCUUAGGGGACAAGAAAAAAUGGACUUUUUUCUCCUGCCAUGGGGGGGCGCUCUUUUGGGGAGUAAAAAUUCCUUCACAAAUGUGUUGAUGGCUGGACAUUGCAUUAUCCUAGAAAACUUGGAGGCCAGUGAGGACAAAAAUAAAAAGUUAUAAGACUUUUAAAUAUGUGGAUUUUAGUGUUAUCUUUGGCGCCCCCUAGAACCUAAACCUUGGGGUGCAGCGUCAUGAUUUUGAUAACUUUUAAUGGCCACGGGGUGUAGAUUGGCCUGAGCAAAUGUGGUGCCGGUGGAACGAAAGCCUUCGGAGGAGUUAGCGAAAUUCCAAUGUGUGCGGAUCGGCAAAAAAUGCGAAAUAACCCUUUAACCGUACAUUUGACAGAUACGGCCGCACUGACUUUUUUGUAGAUCUUAUUGAGAUACAUGUGUGUGUCAAUUUUUGUGUCAAUAUGACAAAGCGCACAGGCGUGACAGUCAAUAGUGUGAAUUUUCACCUUAGGGGGUGCUAUGGAGCCAUUUUGCAUUUUAUUGUUUGGGCGACUUCAGAAUAUCGAAUUUUUCACCAGGCCCGGUCGUCCUGUCAAAUUUCAUGAGUUUUCGCCAGUGGGAAGUGGGCCAUUUUCCCCUUCAAAGGGGAGGAAAAAUAAGAAGAAAGAAAGAAAGAAAGAACUAGGGCCCCGUUGGGGCACUGGCGGGCCCGAGCCGUGUCGCGCCGCCCCCAGCGCGACCGCCUACCCCUCCCGAUCGCGUCACACUCAAGGUCCAAAGAUGGUGUGCGCACUUGUCUGUGGUCAUUUACCAUUAUAAUGAAUGGGAGGCGCAGUUUCUACCAAAACGCUCGCUGCAGACAAACUCCAUGUCCUUUUUGAAAAAAGUCUGGACCAUGAGUGAGGGCACAAACACAGCUAGUAUAUAUCCAAAUGGCAAGUUGCUCCUCCUUUCCGUUUUGCCGAGAAAGCGAUGCGCUUGAGCCAUUGAGCGAUGGGCAGGAAAAACUUGACUUUUUCUCCUGCCAUGGGGAGGCGCUCUUUUGGGGAGUAAAAAUUCCCUCACAAAUGUGUUGAUGGCUGGACAUUGCAUCAUCCUAGAAAACUUGGAGGCCAGUGAGGACAAAAAUAAAGAGUUAUAAGACUUCUAAAAAUGUGGAUAUUUGGGGCCUCUUUGGCGCCCCCUUGAACGUAAACCGUGGGGUGCAGCGUCAUGAUUUGUACAACUUUGAAUGGCCAUGGGGUGUAGAUUGACCUGAGCAAAUUUGGUGUCAGUGGGAUGAAAGCCUUAGGAGGAGUUAGCCACAUUCCAAUGUGUGCGAAUCGGCAAAAAAUGCAAAAUAGCCCUUUAACCGUACAUUGAACAGAUACGCUCGCAUUGACUUUUUCAUAGAUCGUAUUGAGAUACAUGUGUGUGUCAAUUUUUGUGUCAUUUUGGCAAAGCGUAAAGGCGUGACAGUCAACAAUGUGUAUUUUCGCCUUAGGAGACAAGAAAAAUGGACUUUUUUCUCCUGCCAUUGGGGGGCGCUCUUUUGGGGAGUAAAAAUUCCUUCACAAAUGUGUUGAUGGCUGGACAUUGCAUCAUCCUAGAGAACUUGGAGGCCAGUGAGGACAAAAAUAAAAAGUUAUAAGACUUUUUAGACUGUGGAUUUUUGGGUUAUCUUUGGCGCCCUCUAGAACGUAAACCGUGGGGUGCAGCGUCAUGAUUUGUACAACUUUUAAUGGCCAUGGGGUGUAGAUUGGCCUGAGCAAAUGUGGUGCCGUUGGAACGAAAGCCUUCGGAGGAGUUAGCGAAAUUCCAAUGUGUGCGGAUCGGCAAAAAAUGCGAAAUAACCCUUUAACCGUACAUUUGACAGAUACGCCCGCACUGACUUUUUUGUAGAUCUUAUUGAGAUACAUGUGUGUGUCAAUUUUUGUGUCAAUAUGACAAAGCGUAAAGGCGUGACAGUCAAUAGUGUGAAUUUUCACCUUAGGGGGCGCUAUGGAGCCAUUUUGCAUUUUAUUGUUUGGGCGACUUCAGAAUAUCGAAUUUUUCACCAGGCCCGGUCGUCCUGCCAAAUUUCAUGAGUUUUCGCCAGUGGGAAGUGGGCCAUUUUCCAGUUUAAAGCGGAGGAAAAAUAAUGAUAAUAAUAAUAACUAGGGCCCCGUUGGGGCACUGGCGGGCCCGAGCCGUGUCGCACCCCCCCUCCCCAACGCGCUGCCUCCCCGUCCCAUUCGCGUCCUCUGGCCAUCGCCCUCUCUGGUAACGCCCAUCACUGCAAAGACCCUUUUCCUUCAUCGGCGUUUGCUGUUCUUCCUGCCAGUGCGUGUUGCUUUCACUUACACUUGCCACAGCCAGCCUCGUGAGUGCCUAGCCUAUUGGAUAUCACUGUCACCUACACAGGACAGUCAUACUUUGUUUUUUAAUUUCACAUUAAUUUCCUUAUUGUAUAAACGACUGGAAAAAACUUGAGCCCCUGCCCCUGUAUAAUCAUGUGCACGUCCCUGUUCUAGCUCCAAGGUGAAUCUUCACUGCUCAUGUUCUCCUCAGAAGCAGUCACCUCACUCCCCUCAGGUUACUGUACACAUGCACCAACUGCCUGCUUCAGGUUUGGAUGGAGCUUCAUGGUUGUCUUUUGGAGAAAUGAGCAGUCAAGUUGUGUUUGAAAUUUGAUUUUUUUCAGGGGCAAAAGGAAGCCUCUGCAUUCUUGUCAAAUAUGUAAAUAGCAUGUUUUUGCAGGUGCUAAAAAACAGACUCUGAGUGUGUGUGUGUGUGUGUGUGUGUGCGUGUGUGUGUGUGUGUGUGUGUCUGUGUGUGUGUGUGUGUGUACCUGCAGUACUCUGAGAAGAAUAAUAAGCAUAUUUCUGAGGUGAAUUUUGAAGAUUCAUCUGAGAGUUAGGUUUGAUUCGAUUCGAUUGACGCUCCCCAGCGUUCAAGUCACAUGACAUAUUUAACCGGAUGUAGCUGCAAGACGGAGCCUCGUUACCUCUCCGUUUCAACUUAUCUCAAAAGUGAGGACCUCAACCUAUAUACCAGUUUUUAAAUUGUGUUGAUAGGCCAAAUAAAACCAGAGUUAUGAUAAAUUAUGUCCGCGAUACUUUUUUUCUGCUUAUUUUGAUCACGUUCGGCGCUCGAUCGCGCUGUAUGAGACAGGAAAACAUAGCAUGCACACAUUAGCGACAGGUCUUACAGGCGGAAAAGGCUUGCCAAAAGAAAAAAAAACACACCACAACAUCUCUCCUAUUGGUGGAAAACUUCACCACAACAACCAAUCCAAAAUUAUAUGGUGACUGAUUGACAAGGGGCGGGCGCUUACGUUCUUCCUGCAACAUGAGAAGGGAGGGAGGGACUCUCAGCAGGGAUGCAGUCUGGGACACGUAGUUGCAAACCUAGCGACUUUGUUGUUAGAUUCAAUGACUUUUCAGACCCCCUAACGACUUUUUUUAGAAAGAAAGGGACUUUUAUCGACUUCUUCUGGAGUUUAGAGACUCUGACAUGAAGCAGGCUUUCCUUACUGAGGAGUUAGCAACGCUGCUAAGGGUGCAGAGCCACACAUGCGCUCCGAGCUCUGCAUGGGAGACUGAAGCUGACAGAGCUGCAGCAGUUAGCAGGUUUCACCCUCAGAGACCACCAGGGGUUCAUGUUGAGGCAUUUUCAGUGUUUUUUUUUUUUGCCAUAGACUGUCAGCACAAUCCGCAGUUACACUAACAAAAAUGCUGCAAAAAACAAAGAAUUAUGGAAAAAUUACACAUGGACUGACAUAGAGGAGGAUCUACACAAGUUUUUUACAUCAUGUUUUACAUCAUGCAUCAUUUACAUCAUGUUUUUUUGUAGUGGCAUAAAUAAAAAGUGACAUUUGUGAGACUAUACAGUGUUUUGUAAAUAAUUUUACAAAGAACGCCUGGGCCAUUGCCUGCAUUUUGAUGUAAAUAGAGGUAAAUUACUAUGUUCUAUGUUAAAAAUUUGCAUAUGUUUUGAAGUUUACAAUUUUUAUUUGAAGUUUAAGUUUUAAAAACAGUUCAUCACACAUAUUUGUGGUUUAAUUUCACAUUAAUUUCCAUAUUGUAUAAAUGACUGGAAAAAACUUGAGCCCCUGCCCCUGUAUAAUCAUGUGCACGUCCCUGUUCUAGCUCCAAGGUGAAUCUUCACUGCUCAUGUUCUCCUCAGAAAUAGUCACCUCACUCCCCUCAGGUUACUGUACACAUGCACCAACUAUCUGCUUCAGGUUUGGAUGGAGCUUCAUGGUUGUCUUUUGGAGAAAUGAACAGUCAAGUUGUGUUUGAAAUCUGAUUUUUUUCAGGGGCAAAAGGAAGCCUCUGCAUUCUUGUCAAAUAUGUAAACAGCAUGUUUUUGCAGGUGCUAAAAAACAGACUCUGAGUGUGUGUGUGUGUGUGUGUGUGUGUGUGUGUGUGUGUGUGUGUGUGUGUGUGUGUAUAUGUGUGUGUAUCCUGCAGUACUCUGUACUCCUGCAGUGGCCAAAAAGACUUUUAAGAAUGUGGAUUUUUGGGUCAUCUUUGGCGCCCCCUAGAACUGCAGUACUCUGUACUCCUGCAGUGGCCAAAAUGACUUUUAAGAAUGUGGAUUUUUGGGUCAUCUUUGGCGCCCCCUAGAACGUAAACCGUGGGGUGCAGCGUCAUGAUUUUUACAACUUUGAAUGGCCAUGGGGUCUAGAUUGCCCUGAGCAAAUUUGGUAUCGGUGGGACGAAAGCCUUAGGAGGAGAUAGCCACAUUCCAAUGUGUGCGAAUCGGCAAAAAAUGCGAAAUAGCCCUUUAACCGUACAUUAUACAGAUACGCGCUUUUUGACUUUUUCGUAGAUCUAAUUGAGAUACACAUGAUUGUCAAUUUUUGUGUCAAUAUGACAAAGCGUUCAGGCGUGACACUCAACAAUGUGUAUUUUCAUGUAAGGGGACAAGAAAAAAUUGACUUUUUUCUCCUGCCAUGGGGGGGGCGCUCUUUUGGGGAGUAAAAAUUCCUUCACAAAUGUGUUGAUGGCUGGACAUUGCAUCAUCCUAGAAAACUUGGAGGGCAGUGAGGACAAAAAUAAAAAGUUAUAAGACUUUUAAGAAUGUGGAUUUUGGGUUAUCUUUGGCGCCCCCUAGAACGUAAACCGUGGGGUGCAGCGUCAUGAUUUGUACAACUUUUAAUGGCCAUGGGGGGUAGAUUGGCCUGCGCAAAUGUGGUGCCGGUCGAACGAAAGCCUUCGGAGGAGUUAGCGAAAUUCCAAUGUGUGCAGAUCUGCAAAAAAUGCAAAAUAACCCAUUAACCGUACAUUUGACAGAUACGCCCGCACUGACUUUUUUGUAGAUCUUAUUGAGAUACAUGUGUGUGUCAUUUUUUGUGUCAAUAUGACAAAGCGUACAGCCGUCAUGUGAAUUUUCACCUUAGGGGGCGCUAUGGAGCCAUUUUGCAUUUUAUUGUUUGGCCGACUUCAGAAUAUCGAAUUUUUCACCAGGCCCGGUCGUCCUGCCAAAUUUCCUGAGUUUUCGCCAGUGGGAAGUGGGCCAUUUUCCAGUUUAAAGCGGAGGAAAAAUAAUAACGAAAGAAGGAAACAUGCAGGAACAAGAGGGCUCUCGCAGCUGCUUAGCAGCUACGCUCGGGCCCUAACUAGGACCCCGUUGGGGCACUGGCGGGCCCGAGCCGUGUCGCAUCCCCCCCCCCCCAACGUGCUGCCUUCCCGUCCCAUUUGUGUCCUCUGGCCAUCGCCCUCUCUGGUAACGCCCAUCACUGCAAAGACCCUUUUCCUUCAUCGGCGUUUGCUGUUCUUCCUGCCAGUGCGUGUUGCUUUCACUUACACUUGCCACAGCCAGCCUCGUGAGUGCCUAGCCUUUUGGAUAUCACUGUCACCUACACAGGACAGUCAUUACCUUUCUAUUAAUACUUUGUGUUUUAAUUUCACUUUAAUUUCCAUUUUGUAUAAACGACUGGAAAAAACUUGAGCCCCUGCCCCUGUAUAAUCAUGUGCAUGUCUCUGUUCUAGCUCCAAGGUGAAUCUUCACUGCUCAUGUUCUCCUCAGAAGCACUCACCUCACUCCCCUCAGGUUACUGUACACAUGCACCAACUGCCUGCUUCAGGUUUGGAUGGAGCUUCAUGGUUGUCUUUUGGAGAAAUGACCAGUCAAGUUGUGUUUGAAAUUUGAUUUUUUCAGGGGCAAAAGGAGCCUCUGCAUUCUUGUCAAAUAUGUAAAUAGCAUGUUUUUGCAGGUGCUAAAAACCAGACUCUGAGUGUGUGUGUGUGUGUGUGUGUGUGUGUGUGUGUGUGUGUGUCUGUGUGUGCGUUCAAGUCACAUGACAUAUUUAACCGGAUGUAGCUGCAAGACGGAGCCUCGUUGACUCUCCGUUUCAACUUAUCUCAAAAGUGAGGACCUCAACCUAUAUACCAGUUUUUAAAUUGUGUUGAUAGGCCAAAUAAAACCAGAGUUAUGAUAAAUUAUGUCCGCGAUACUUUUUUUCUGCUUAUUUUGAUCACGUUCGGCGCUCGAUCGCGCUGUAUGAGACAGGAAAACAUAGCAUGCAGACAUUAGCGACAGGUCUUACAGGCGGAAAAGGCUUGCCAAAAGAAAAAAAAAACACACCACAACAUCUCUCCUAUUGGUGGAAAACUUCACCACAACAACCAAUCCAAAAUUAUAUGGUGACUGAUUGACAAGGGGCGGGCGCUUACGUUCUUCCUGCAACAUGAGAAGGGAGGGAGGGACUCUCAGCAGGGAUGCAGUCUGGGACACGUAGUUGCAAACCUAGCGACUUUGUUGUUAGAUUCAAUGACUUUUCAGACCCCCUAACGACUUUUUUUUAGAAAGAAAGGGACUUUUAUCGACUUCUUCUGGAGUUUAGAGACUCUGACAUGAAGCAGGCUUUCCUUACUGAGGAGUUAGCAACGCUGCUAAGGGUGCAGAGCCACACAUGCGCUCAGAGCUCUGCAUGGGAGACUGAAGCUGACAGAGCUGCAGCAGUUAGCAGGUUUCACCCUCAGAGACCACCAGGGGUUCAUGUUGAGGCAUUUUGAAUUUUUUUUUUUUUGUGCCAUAGACACUGUCAGCACAAUCUGCAGUUACACUAACAAAAAUGCUGCAAAAAACAAAGAAUUAUGGAAAAAUUACACAUGGACUGACAUAGAGGAGGAUCUACACAAGUUUUUUACAUCAUGUUUUACAUCAUGCAUCAUUUACAUCAUGUUUUUUUGUAGUGGCAUAAAUAAAAAGUGACAUUUGUGAGCCUAUACAGUGUUUUGUAAAUAAUUUUACAAAGAACGCCUGGGCCAUUGCCUGCAUUUUGAUGUAAAUAGAGGUAAAUCACUAUGUUCUUUGUUUAAAAUUUGCAUAUGUUUUGAAGUUUACAAUUUUUAUUUGAAGUUUAAGUUUUAAAAACAGUUCAUCACACAUAUUUGUGGUUUUCACAGUAAAAAUGUUACUUUUUUCCACUCGGAUUUUAUGUUUUGUGUGUGAAUUUGGGUCCAUUGUGUAAAUUCAGUAUGUCAACAUGAUAAAAUAACUGUAAAUUCGCACAGGUGAGGUUGUGCUGAAAAAAAUGAUACCAGGCAAGGCACGUGAUUGUCAAAUUUUGUGUCAAUAUGACAAAGCGUAUAGGCGUGAAUCUCAACAAUAUGUAUUUUCACCUUAGGGGACAAGAAAAAAUGGACUUUUUUCUCCUGCCAUGGGGGGGGCGCUCUUUUGGGGAGUAAAAAUUCCUUCACAAAUGUGUUGAUGGCUGGACAUUGCAUCAUCCUAGAAAACUUGGAGGCCAGUGAGGACAAAAAUAAAAAGUUAUAAGACUUUUAAAUAUGUGGAUUUUAGGGUUAUCUUUGGCCCCCCCUAGAACCUAAACCGUGGGGUGCAGCGUCAUGAUUUGAAUAACUUUUAAUGGCCAUGGGGUGUAGAUUGGCCUGAGCAAAUGUGGUGCCGGUGGAACGAAAGCCUUAGGAGGAGUUAGCCACAUUCCAAUGUGUGCGGAUCGGCAAAAAAUGCGGAAUAACCCUUUAACCGUACAUUUGACAGAUACGCGCGCAUUGACUUUUUCGUAGAUCUUAUUGAGUUACAUGUGUGUGUCAAUUUUUGUGUCAUUUUGACAAAGCGUAUAGGCGUGACACUCAACAAUGUGUAUUUUUACCUUAGGGGACAAGAAAAAAUGGACUUUUUUCUCCUGCCAUGGGGGGGCGCUCUUUUGGGGAGUAAAAAUUCCUUCACAAAUGUGUUGAUGGCUGGACAUUGCAUCAUCCUAGAAAACUUGGAGGCCAGUGAGGACAAAAAUAAAAAGUUAUAAGACUUUUAAAUAUGUGGAUUUUAGUGUUAUCUUUGGCGCCCCCUAGAACCUAAACCUUGGGGUGCAGCGUCAUGAUUUUGAUAACUUUUAAUGGCCACGGGGUGUAGAUUGGCCUGAGCAAAUGUGGUGCCGGUGGAACGAAAGCCUUCGGAGGAGUUAGCGAAAUUCCAAUGUGUGCGGAUCGGCAAAAAAUGCGGAAUAACCCUUUAACCGUACAUUUGACAGAUACGCGCGCAUUGACUUUUUCGUAGAUCUUAUUGAGUUACAUGUGUGUGUCAAUUUUUGUGUCACUUUGACAAAGCGUAUAGGCGUGACACUCAACAAUGUGUAUUUUCACCUUAGGGGACAAGAAAAAAUGGACUUUUUUCUCCUGCCAUGGGGGGGCGCUCUUUUGGGGAGUAAAAAUUCCUUCACAAAUGUGUUGAUGGCUGGACAUUGCAUCAUCCUAGAAAACUUGGAGGCCAGUGAGGACAAAAAUAAAAAGUUAUAAGACUUUUAAAUAUGUGGAUUUUAGUGUUAUCUUUGGCGCCCCCUAGAACCUAAACCUUGGGGUGCAGCGUCAUGAUUUUGAUAACUUUUAAUGGCCAAGGGGUGUAGAUUGGCCUGAGCAAAUGUGGUGCCGGUGGAACGAAAGCCUUCGGAGGAGUUAGCGAAAUUCCAAUGUGUGCGGAUCGGCAAAAAAUGCGAAAUAACCCUUUAACCGUAAUUUUGACAGAUACGGCCGCACUGACUUUUUUGUAGAUCUUAUUGAGAUACAUAUGUGUGUCAAUUUUUGUGUCAAUAUGACAAAGCGUACAGGCGUGACAGUCAAUAGUGUGAAUUUCCACCUUAGGGGGCGCUAUGGAGCCAUUUUGCAUUUUAUUGUUUGGGCGACUUCAGAAUAUCGAAUUUUUCACCAGGCCCGGUCGUCCUGCCAAAUUUCAUGAGUUUUCGCCAGUGGGAAGUGGGCCAUUUUCCAGUUCAAAGGGGAGGAAAAAGAAGAAAGAAAGAAAGAAAGAAAGAAACAAAGAAAAACCACUUGGGGAAUAAUAGGGCCUACGCCCGGCUGCUCUGCAGCUGGCUCGGGCCCUAACUAGGGCCCCGUUGGGGCACUGGCGGGCCCGAGCCGUGUCGCACCCCCCCCCCCCCCCCAACGCGCUGCCUCCCCGUCCCAUUCGUGUCCUCUGGCCAUCGCCCUCUCUGGUAACGCCCAUCACUGCAAAGACCCUUUUCCUUCAUCGGCGUUUGCUGUUCUUCCUGCCAGUGCGUGUUGCUUUCACUUACACUUGCCACAGCCAGCCUCGUGAGUGCCUAGCCUAUUGGAUAUCACUGUCACCUACACAGGACAGUCAUACUUUGUUUUUUAAUUUCACAUUAAUUUCCAUAUUGUAUAAACGACUGGAAAAAACUUGAGCCCCUGCCCCUGUAUUAUCAUGUGCACGUCCCUGUUCUAGCUCCAAGGUGAAUCUUCACUGCUCAUGUUCUCCUCAGAAGCAGUCACCUCACUCCCCUCAGGUUACUGUACACAUGCACCAACUGCCUGCUUCAGGUUUGGAUGGAGCUUCAUGGUUGUCUUUUGGAGAAAUGACCAGUCAAGUUGUGUUUGAAAUUUGAUUUUUUUCAGGGGCAAAAGGAAGCCUCCGCAUUCUUGUCAAAUAUGUAAAUAGCAUGUUUUUGCAGGUGCUAAAAAACAGACUCUGAGUGUGUGUGUGUGUGUGUGUGUGUGUGUGUGUGUGUGUGUGUGUGUGUGUGUGUGUGUGUGUGUGUGUCUGUGUGUGUGUGUGUGUGUGUAUCCUGCAGUACUCUGAGAAGAAUAAUAAGCAUAUUUCUGAGGUGAAUUUUGAAGAUUCAUCUGAGAGUUAGGUUUGAUUCGAUUCGAUUGACGCUCCCCAGCGUUCAAGUCACAUGACAUAUUUAACCGGAUGUAGCUGCAAGACGGAGCCUCGUUAACUCUCCGUUUCAACUUAUCUCAAAAGUGAGGACCUCAACCUAUAUACCAGUUUUUAAAUUGUGUUGAUAGGCCAAAUAAAACCAGAGUUAUGAUAAAUUAUGUCCGCGAUACUUUUUUUCUGCUUAUUUUGAUCACGUUCGGCGCUCGAUCGCGCUGUAUGAGACAGGAAAACAUUGCAUGCACACAUUAGUGACAGAUCAUACAGGCGGAAAAGGCUUGCCAAAAGAAAAAAAAAACACACCACAACAUCUCUCCUAUUGGUGGAAAACUUCACCACAACAACCAAUCCAAAAUUAUAUGGUGACUGAUUGACAAGGGGCGGGCGCUUACGUUCUUCCUGCAACAUGAGAAGGGAGGGAGGGACUCUCAGCAGGGAUGCAGUCUGGGACACGUAGUUGCAAACCUAGCGACUUUGUUGUUAGAUUCAAUUACUUUUCAGACCCCCUAACGACUUUUUUUAGAAAGAAAGGGACUUUUAUCGACUUCUUCUGGAGUUUAGAGACUCUGACAUGAAGCAGGCUUUCCUUACUGAGGAGUUAGCAACGCUGCUAAGGGUGCAGAGCCACACAUGCGCUCCGAGCUCUGCAUGGGAGACAGAAGCUGACAGAGCUGCAGCAGUUAGCAGGUUUCACCCUCAGAGACCACCAGGGGUUCAUGUUGAGGCAUUUUCAGUUUUUUUUUUUUUGCCAUAGACAGUCAGCACAAUCUGCAGUUACACUAACAAAAAUGCUGCAAAAAACAAAGAAUUAUGGAAAAAUUACACAUGGACUGACAUAGAGGAGGAUCUACACAAGUUUUUUACAUCAUGUUUUACAUCAUGCAUCAUUUACAUCAUGUUUUUUUGUAGUGGCAUAAAUAAAAAGUGACAUUUGUGAGACUAUACAGUGUUUUGUAAAUAAUUUUACAAAGAACGCCUGGGCCAUUGCCUGCAUUUUGAUGUAAAUAGAGGUAAAUUACUAUGUUCUUUGUUAAAAAUUUGCAUAUGUUUUGAAGUUUACAAUUUUUAUUUGAAGUUUAAGUUUUAAAAACAGUUCAUCACACAUAUUUGUGGUUUAAUUUCACAUUAAUUUCCAUAUUGUAUAAAUGACUGGAAAAAACUUGAGCCCCUGCCCCUGUAUAAUCAUGUGCACGUCCCUGUUCUAGCUCCAAGGUGAAUCUUCACUGCUCAUGUUCUCCUCAGAAAUAGUCACCUCACUCUCCUCAGGUUACUGUACACAUGCACCAACUAUCUGCUUCAGGUUUUGAUGGAGCUUCAUGGUUGUCUUUUGGAGAAAUGAACAGUCAAGUUGUGUUUGAAAUCUGAUUUUUUUCAGGGGCAAAAGGAAGCCUCUGCAUUCUUGUCAAAUAUGUAAACAGCAUGUUUUUGCAGGUGCUAAAAAACAGACUCUGAGUGUGUGUGUGUGUGUGUGUGUGUGUGUGUGUGUGUGUGUGUGUAUAUGUGUGUGUAUCCUGCAGUACUCUGUACUCCUGCAGUGGCCAAAAAGACUUUUAAGAAUGUGGAUUUUUGGGUCAUCUUUGGCGCCCCCUAGAACUGCAGUACUCUGUACUCCUGCAGUGGCCAAAAUGACUUUUAAGAAUGCUGAUUUUUGGGUCAUCUUUGGCGCCCCCUAGAACGUAAACCGUGGGGUGCAGCGUCAUGAUUUUUACAACUUUGAAUGGGCAUGGGGUGUAGAUUGCCCUGAGCAAAUUUGGUAUCGGUGGGACGAAAGCCUUAGGAGGAGAUAGCCACAUUCCAGUGUGUGCGAAUCGGCAAAAAAUGCGAAAUAGCCCUUUAACCGUACAUUAUACAGAUACGCGCUUUUUGACUUUUUCGUAGAUCUAAUUGAGAUACACAUGAUUGUCAAUUUUUGUGUCAAUAUGACAAAGCGUUCAGGCGUGACACUCAACAAUGUGUAUUUUCAUGUAAGGGGACAAGAAAAAAUGGACUUUUUUCUCCUGCCAUGGGGGGGCGCUCUUUUGGGGAGUAAAAAUUCCUUCACAAAUGUGUUGAUGGCUGGACAUUGCAUCAUCCUAGAAAACUUGGAGGGCAGUGAGGACAAAAAUAAAAAGUUAUAAGACUUUUAAGAAUGUGGAUUUUGGGUUAUCUUUGGCGCCCCCUAGAACGUAAACUGUGGGGUGCAGUGUCAUGAUUUGUACAACUUUUAAUGGCCAUGGGGGGUAGAUUGGCCUGCGCAAAUGUGGUGCCGGUCGAACGAAAGCCUUCGGAGGAGUUAGUGAAAUUCCAAUGUGUGCAGAUCUGCAAAAAAUGCAAAAUAACCCAUUAACCGUACAUUUGACAGAUACGCCCGCACUGACUUUUUUGUAGAUCUUAUUGAGAUACAUGUGUGUGUCAAUUUUUGUGUCAAUAUGACAAAGCGUACAGCCGUCAUGUGAAUUUUCACCUUAGGGGGCGCUAUGGAGCCAUUUUGCAUUUUAUUGUUUGGGCGACUUCAGAAUAUCGAAUUUUUCACCAGGCCCGGUCGUCCUGCCAAAUUUCAUGAGUUUUCGCCAGUGGGAAGUGGGCCAUUUUCCAGUUCAAAGGGGAGGAAAAAUAAUAACUAGGGCCCCGGUGGGGCACUGGCGGGCCCGAGCCGUGUCGUGCCGCCCCCAGCGCGACCGCCUACCCCUCCCGAUCGCGUCACACUCAAGGUCCAAAGAUGGUGUGCGCACUUGUCUGUGGUCAUUUACCAUUAUAAUGAAUGGGAGGCGCAGUUUCUACCAAAUUGCUCGCUGCAGACAAACUCCAUGUCCUUUUUGAAAAAAGUCUGGACCAUGAGUGAGGGCACAAACACAGCUAGUAUAUAUCCAAAUGGCAAGUUGCUCCUCCUUUCAGUUUUGCCGAGAGAGUGAUGCGUUUGAGCCAUUGAGCGAUGGGCAGGAAAAACUUGACUUUUUCUCCUGCCAUGGGGGGGCGCUCUUUUGGGGAGAAAAAAUUCCUUCACAAAUGUGUUGAUGGCUGGACAUUGCAUCAUCCUAGAAAACUUGGAGGCCAGUGAGGACAAAUAUAAAAAGUUAUAAGACUUUUAAAAAUGUGGAUAUUUGGGUCCUCUUUGGCGCCCCCUAGAACGUAGACCGUGGGGUGCAGUGUCAUGAUUUUUACAACUUUGAAUGGCCAUGGGAUGUAGAUUGGUCUGAGCAAAUUUGGUGUCAGUGGGACGAAAGCCUUAGGAGGAGUUAGCCACAUUCCAAUGUGUGCGAAUCGGCAAAAAAUGCAAAAUAGCCCUUUAACCGUACAUUUUACAGAUACGCGCGCAUUGACUUUUUCAUAGAUCUUAUUGAGAUACACGUGAUUAUUAGAUUUUGUGUCAAUAUGACAAAGCGUACAAGUGUGACAUUCAACAAUGUGUAUUUUCGCCUAAGGGGACAAGAAAAAAUGGACUUUUUUCUCCUGCCAUGGGGGGGGCGCUCUUUUGGGGAGUAAAAAUUCCUUCACAAAUGUGUUGAUGGCUGGACAUUGCAUCAUCCUAGAAAACUUGGAGGCCAGUGAGGACAAAAAUAAAAAGUUAUAAGACUUUUAAAUAUGUGGAUUUUAGGGUUAUCUUUGGCGCCCCCUAGAACCUAAACCGUGGGGUGCAGCGUCAUGAUUUUGAUAACUUUUAAUGGCCAUGGGGUGUAGAUUGGCCUGAGCAAAUGUGGUGCCGGUGGAACGAAAGCCUUAGGAGGAGUUAGCCACAUUCCAAUGUGUGCGGAUCGGCAAAAAAUGCGGAAUAACCCUUUAACCGUACAUUUGACAGAUACGCGCGCAUUGACUUUUUCGUAGAUCUUAUUGAGUUACAUGUGUGUGUCAAUUUUUGUGUCAUUUUGAAAAAAGCGUAUAGGCGUGACACUCAACAAUGUGUAUUUUCACCUUAGGGGACAAGAAAAAAUUGACUUUUUUCUCCUGCCAUGGGGGGGCGCUCUUUUGGGGAGUAAAAAUUCCUUCACAAAUAUGUUGAUGGCUGGACAUUGCAUCAUCCUAGAAAACUUGGAGGCCAGUGAGGACAAAAAUAUAAAGUUAUAAGACUUUUAAAUAUGUGGAUUUUAGUGUUAUCUUUGGCGCCCCCUAGAACCUAAACCGUGGGGUGCAGCGUCAUGAUUUGUACAACUUUUAAUGGCCACGGGGUGUAGAUUGGCCUGAGCAAAUGUGGUGCCGUUGGAACGAAAGCCUUCGGAGGAGUUAGCGAAAUUCCAAUGUGUGCGGAUCGGCAAAAAAUGCGAAAUAACCCUUUAACCGUAAUUUUGACAGAUACGGCCGCACUGACUUUUUUGUAGAUCUUAUUGAGAUACAUAUGUGUGUCAAUUUUUGUGUCAAUAUGACAAAGCGUACAGGCGUGACAGUCAAUAGUGUGAAUUUCCACCUUAGGGGGCGCUAUGGAGCCAUUUUGCAUUUUAUUGUUUGGGCGACUUCAGAAUAUCGAAUUUUUCACCAGGCCCGGUCGUCCUGCCAAAUUUCAUGAGUUUUCGCCAGUGGGAAGUGGGCCAUUUUCCAGUUCAAAGGGGAGGAAAAAGAAGAAAGAAAGAACUAGGGCCCCGUUGGGGCACUGGCGGGCCCGAGCUGUGUCGCCCCCCCCCCCCCCCCCCCCCCAACGCGCUGCCUCCCCGUCCCAUUCGCGUCCUCUGGCCAUCGUCCUCUCUGGUAACGCCCAUCACUGCAAAGACCCUUUUCCUUCAUCGGCGUUUGCUGUUCUUCCUGCCAGUGCGUGUUGCUUUCACUUACACUUGCCACAGCCAGCCUUGUGAGUGCCUAGCCUAUUGGAUAUCACUGUCACCUACACAGGACAGUCAUUACCUUUCUAUUAAUACUUUGUUUUUUAAUUUCACAUUAAUUUCCAUAUUGUAUAAACGACUGGAAAAAACUUGAGCCCCUGCCCCCGUAUAAUCAUGUGCACGUCCCUGUUCUCGCUCCAAGGUGAAUCUUCACUGCUCAUGUUCUCCUCAGAAGCAGUCACCUCACUCCCCUCAGGUUACUGUACACAUGCACCAACUGCCUGCUUCAGGUUUGGAUGGAGCUUCAUGGUUGUCUUUUGGAGAAAUGAGCAGUCAAGUUGUGUUAGAAAUUUGAUUUUUUUCAGGGGCAAAAGGAAGCCUCUGCAUUGUUGUCAAAUAUGUAAAUAGCAUGUUUUUGCAGGUGCUAAAAAACAGACUCUGAGUGUGUGUGUGUGUGUGUGUGUGUGUGUGUGUCUGUGUGUGUGUGUGUCUGUGUGUGUGUAUCCUGCAGUACUCUGUACUCCUGCAGUGGCCAAAACGACUUUUAAGAAUGUGGAUAUUUGGGUCAUCUUUGGCGCCCCCUAGAACGUAAACCAUGGGGUGCAGCGGCAUGAUUUUUACAACUUUGAAUGGCCAUGGGGUGUAGAUUGGCCUGAGCAAAUUUGGUGUCAGUGGGACGAAAGCCUUAGGAGGAGUUAGCCACAUUCCAAUGUGUGCGAAUCGGCAAAAAAUGCAAAAUAGCCCUUUAGCCGUACAUUUUACAGAUACGCGCCCAUUGACUUUUUCGUAGAUCUUAUUGAGAUACACGUGUGUGUCAAAUUUUUUGUCAAUACGACAAAGCGUACAGGCGUGACACUCAACAAUGUGUAUUUUCACCUUAGGGGACAAGAAAAAAUGGACUUUUUAUUCCUGCCAUGGGGGGGCGCUCUUUUGGGGAGUAAAAAUUCCUUCACAAAUGUGUUGAUGGCUGGACAUUGCAUCAUCCUAGAAAACUUGGAGGCCAGUGAGGACAAAAAAAAAAAUUUAUAAAACUUUUAAGAAUGUGGAUUUUUGGGUUAUUUUUGGCGCCCCCUAGAACCUAAACCAUGGGGUGCAGCAUUAUGAUUUGUACAACUUUGAAUGGCCAUGGAGUGUAGAUUGGCCUGAGCAAAUGUGGUGCCGGUGGAACGAAAGCCUUCGGAGGAGUUAGCGAAAUUCCAAUGUGUGCGGAUCUGCAAAAAAUGCAAAAUAACCCUUUAACCGUACAUUUGACAGAUACGCCCGCACUGACUUUUUUGUAGAUCUUAUUGAGAUACAUGUGUGUGUCAAUUUUUGUGUCAAUAUGACAAAGCGUACAGGCGUGACAGUCAAUAGUGUGAAUUUUCACCUUAGGGGGCGCUAUGGAGCCAUUUUGCAUUUUCUUGUUUGGGCGACUUCAGAAUAUCGAAUUUUUCACCAGGCCCGGUCGUCCUGCCAAAUUUCAUGAGUUUUCGCCAGUGGGAAGUGGGCCAUUUUCCAGUUUAAAGCGGAGGAAAAAUAAUAAUAAUAACAAAAGAAGAAUCCAUCAGGAACAAGAGGGCUCUCGCAGCUGCUUAGCAGCUACGCUCGGGCCCUAAAGAACUAGGGCCCCGUUGGGGCACUGGCGGGCCCGAGCCGUGUCGCGCCGCCCCCAGCGCGACCGCCUACCCCUCCCGAUCGCGUCACACUCAAGGUCCAAAGAUGGUGUGCGCACUUGUCUGUGGUCAUUUACCAUUAUAAUGAAUGGGAGGCGCAGUUUCUACCAAAACGCUCGCUGCAGACAAACUCCAUGUCCUUUUUGAAAAAAGUCUGGACCAUGAGUGAGGGCACAAACACAGCUAGUAUAUAUCCAAAUGGCAAGUUGCUCCUCCUUUCGGUUUUGCCGAGAGAGCGAUGCGUUUGAGCCAUUGAGCGAUGGGCAGGAAAAACUUGACUUUUUCUCCUGCCAUGGGGGGCGCUCUUUUGGGGAGAAAAAAUUCCUUCACAAAUGUGUUGAUGGCUGGACAUUGCAUCAUCCUAGAAAACUUGGAGGCCAGUGAGGACAAAAAUAAAAAGUUAUAAGACUUUUAAAAAUGUGGAUAUUUGGGUCCUCUUUGGCGCCCCCUAGAACGUAAACUGUGGGGUGCAGCGUCAUGAUUUGUACAACUUUGAAUGGCCAUGGGGUGUAGAUUGACCUGAGCAAAUUUGAAGCCGACGGGACAAAAGAUUUAGGAGGAGUUAGCCACAUUCCAAUGUGUGCGAAUCGGCAAAAAAUGCGAAAUAGCCCUUUAACCGUACAUUGAACAGAUACGCUCGCAUUGACUUUUUCGUAGAUCUUAUUGAGAUACAUGUGUGUGUCAAAUUUUGUGUCAUUUUGACAAAGCGUAAAGGCGUGACAGUCAACAAUGUGUAUUUUCGCCUUAGGAGACAAGAAAAAAUGGACUUUUUUCUCCUGCCAUGGGGGGGGGCGCUCUUUUGGCGAGUAAAAAUUCCUUCACAAAUGUGUUGAUGGCUGGACAUUGCAUCAUCCUAGAGAACUUGGAGGCCAGUGAGGACAAAAAUAAAAAGUUAUAAGACUUUUAAGACUGUGGAUUUUUGGGUUAUCUUUGGCGCCCCCUAGAACGUAAACCGUGGGGUGCAGCGUCAUGAUUUGUACAACUUUUAAUGGCCAUGGGGUGUAGAUUGGCCUGAGCAAAUGUGGUGCCUUUGGAACGAAAGCCUUCGGAGGAGUUAGCGAAAUUCCAAUGUGUGCGGAUCGGCAAAAAAUGCGAAAUAGCCCUUUAACCGUACAUUUGACAGAUACGCUCGCACUGACUUUUUUGUAGAUCUUAUUGAGAUACAUAUGUGUAUCCGUGUCGGCCCCCCCCCCCCCACCAAUGCGCUGCCUCCCCUUCCCAUUCGCGUCCUCUGGCCAUCGUCCUCUCUGGUAACGCCCAUCACUGCAAAGACCCUUUUCCUUCAUCGGCGUUUGCUGUUCUUCCUGCCAGUGCGUGUUGCUUUCACUUACACUUGCCACAGCCAGCCUCGUGAGUGCCUAGCCUAUUGGAUAUCACUGUCACCUACACAGGACAGUCAUUACCUUUCUAUUAAUACUUUGUUUUUUAAUUUCACAUUAAUUUCCAUAUUGUAUAAACGACUGGAAAAAACUUGAGCCCCUGCCCCUGUAUAAUCAUGUGCACGUCCCUGUUCUCGCUCCAAGGUGAAUCUUCACUGCUCAUGUUCUCCUCAGAAGCACUCACCUCACUCCCCUCAGGUAACUGUACACAUGCACCAACUGCCUGCUUCAGGUUUGGAUGGAGCUUCAUGGUUGUCUUUUGGAGAAAUGACCAGUCAAGUUGUGUUUGAAAUUUGAUUUUUUUCAGGGGCAAAAGGAGCCUCUGCAUUGUUGUCAAAUAUGUAAAUAGCAUGUUUUUGCAGGUGCUAAAAAACAGACUCUGAGUGUGUGUGUGUGUGUGUGUGUGUGUGUGUGUGUGUGUGUGUGUGUGUGUGUGUGUGUCUGUGUUUGUGUGUGUCUGUGUGUGUGUAUCCUGCAGUACUCUGUACUCCUGCAGUGGCCAAAACGACUUUUAAGAAUGUGGAUAUUUGGGUCAUCUUUGGCGCCCCCUAGAACGUAAACCAUGGGGUGCAGCGGCAUGAUUUUUACAACUUUGAAUGGCCAUGGGAUGUAGAUCGGCUUGAGCAAAUUUGGUGUCGGUGGGAAGAAAGCCUUAGGAGGAGUUAGCCACAUUCCAAUGUGUGCGAAUCUGCAAAAAAUGCGAAAUAGCCCUUUAACCAUACAUUUUACAGAUACGUGCCCAUUGACUUUUUCGUAGAUCUUAUUGAGAUACACGUGAUUGUCAAAUUUUGGGUCAAUAUGACAAAGCGUAUAGGCGUGACACUCAACAAUGUGUAUUUUCACCUUAGGGGACAAGAAAAAAUGGACUUUUUUCUCCUGCCAUGUGGGGGCGCUCUUUUGGGGAGUAAAAAUUCCUUCACAAAUGUGUUGAUGGCUGGACAUUGCAUCAUCCUAGAGAACUUGGAGGCCAGUGAGGACAAAAAUAAAAAGUUAUAAGACUUUUAAGACUGUGGAUUUUUGGGUUAUCUUUGGCGCCCCCUAGAACGUAAACUGUGGGGUGCAGCGUCAUGAUUUGUACAACUUUUAAUGGCCAUGGGGUGUAGAUUGGCCUGAGCAAAUGUGGUGCCGGUGGAACGAAUGCCUUCGGAGGAGUUAGCGAAAUUCCAAUGUGUGCAGAUCGGCAAAAAAUGCGAAAUAACCCUCUAACUGUACAUUUCACAGAUGCGCCCGCGCUGACUUUUUCGUAGAACGUAUUGAGAUACACGUGUGUGUCAAUUUUUGUGUCAAUAUGACAAAGCGUACAGGCGUGACAGUCAAUAGUGUGAAUUUUCGCCUUAGGGGGCGCUAUGGAGCCAUUUUGCAUUUUAUUGUUUGGGCGACUUCAGAAUAUCGAAUUUUUCACCAGGCCCGGUCGUCCUGCCAAAUUUCAUGAGUUUUCGCCAGUGGGAAGUCGGCCAUUUUCCAGUUUAAAGCGGAGGAAAAAUAAUAAUAAUAACAAAAGAAGAAUCCAUCAGGAACAAGAGGGCUCUCGCAGCUGCUUAGCAGCUACGCUCGGGCCCUAAAGAAAGAAAGAAACAAAGAAAAACCACUUGGGGAAUAAUAGGGCCUACGCCCGGCUGCUCUGCAGCUGGCUCGGGCCCUAAAGAAAGAAAGAAAGAAAGAAGAAAGAAAAACCUAUACAGGAAUAAUAGGGCUCUACGCCCGGCUGCUCUGCAGCUGGCUCGGGCCCUAACUAGGGCCCCGGUGGGGCACUGGCGGGCCCGAGCCGUGUCGCGCCGCCCCCAGCGCGACCGCCUCCCCCACCCAAUCGCGUCACACUCAAGGUCCAAAGAUGGUGUACGCACUUGUCUGUGGUCAUUUACCAUUAUAAUGAAUGGGAGGCGCAGUUUCUACCAAAACGCUCGCUGCAGAAAAACUCCAUGUCCUAUUUGAAAAAAGUCUGGACCAUGAGUGAGGGCACAAACACAGCUAAGAUAUAUCCAAAUGGCAAGUUGCUCCUCCUUUCGCUUUUGCCGAGAGAGCGAUGCGUUUGAGCCAUUGAACGAUGAACAGGAAAAACUUGACUUUAUUCUCCUGCCAUGGGGGGGCGCUCUUUUAACGAGAAAAAACUCCUUCACAAAUGUGUUGAUGGCUGGACAUUGCAUCAUCCUAGAAAACAUGGAGGCCAGUGAGGACAAAAAUAAAAUGUUAUAACACUUUUAAGAAUAUGGAUAUUUGGGUCAUCUUUGGCGCCCCCUAGAACUUAAACCGUGGGGUGCAGCGUCAUGAUUUUUACAACUUUGAAUGGCCAUGGGGUGUAGAUUGGCCUGAGCAAAUUUGGUGCCGGUGGAGCGAAAGCCUUCGGAGGAGUUAGCUACAUUCCAAUGUGUGCGAAUCGGCAAAAAAUGCGAAAUAGCCCUUUAACCGUACAUUUGACAGAUACGCCUGCAUUUACUUUUUCGUAGAUCUUAUUGAGAUACACGUGUGUGUUGAAUUUUGUGUCAUUUUGACAAAGCGUACAGGCAUGACACUCAACAAUGUGUAUUUUCACCUUAGGGGACAAGAAAAAAUGGACUUUUUUCUCCUGCCAUGGGGGGGCGCUCUUUUGGGGAGUAAACAUUCCUUCACAAAUGUGUUGAUGGCUGGACAUUGCAUCAUCCUAGAAAACUUGGAGGCCAGUGAGGACAAAAAUAAAAAGUUAUAAGACUUUUAAAAAUGUGGAUAUUUGGGUCCUCUUUGGCGCCCCCUAGAACAUAGACCGUGGGGUGCAGCGUCAUGAUUUUUACAACUUUGAAUGGCCAUGGAGUUUAGAUUGGCCUGAGCAAAUUUGGUGUCAGUGGGACGAAAGCCUUAGGAGGAGUUAGCCACAUUCCAAUGUGUGCGAAAUGGCAAAAAAUGCGAAAUAGCCCUUUAACCGUACAUUUUACUGAUACGCGCGCAUUGACUCUUUCGUAGAUCUUAUUGAGAUACACGUGAUUGUCAAAUUUUGUGUCAAUAUGACGAAGCGUACAGGCGUGACAUUCAACAAUGUGUAUUUUCGCCUUAGAGGACUAGAAAAAAUGGACUUUUUUCUCCUGCCAUGGGGGGGCGCUCUUUUGGCGAGUAAAAAUUCCUUCACAAAUGUGUUGAUGGCUGGACAUUGCAUCAUCCUAGAAAACUUGGAGGCCAGUGAGGACAAAAAUAAAAAGUUAUAAGACUUUUAAGAAUGUGGAUUUUUGGGUUAUCUUUGGCGCCCCCUAGAACGUAAACCGUGGGGUGCAGCAUCAUGAUUUGUACAACUUUUAAUGGCCAUGGGGUGUAGAUUGGCCUGAGCAAAUUUGGUGCCGGUGGAACGAAAGCCUUCGGAGGAGUUAGCGAAAUUCCAAUGUGUGCGGAUCGGCAAAAAAUGCGAAAUAGCCCUUUAACCGUACAUUUGACAGAUAUGCCCGCACUGACUUUUUUGUAGAUCUUAUUGAGAUACACAUGUGUGUCAAAUUUUGUGUCAUUUUGACAAAGCGUACAGGCGUCAGGUGAGUUUUCACCAUAGGGGGCGCUAUGGAGCCAUUUUUCCUUUUUUUGUUUGGGCGACUUCAGAAUAUCAAAUUUUUCACCAGGCCCGGUCGUCCUGCCAAAUUUCCUGAGUUUUCGCCAGUGGGAAGUGGGCCAUUUUCCAGUUUAAAGCGGAGGAAAAAUAACGAAAGAAGAAUCCAUCAGGAACAAGAGGGCUCUCGCAGCUGCUUAGCAGCUACGCUCGGGCCCUAACUAGGGCCCCGGUGGGGCACUGGCGGGCCCGAGCCGUGUCGCGCCGCCCCCAGUGCGACCGCCUACCCCUCCCGAUCGCGUCACACUCAAGGUCCAAAGAUGGUGUGCGCACUUGUCUGUGGUCAUUUACCAUUAUAAUGAAUGGGAGGCGCAGUUUCUACCAAAACGCUCGCUGCAGACAAACUCCAUGUCCUUUUUGAAAAAAGUCUGGACCAUGAGUGAGGGCACAAACACAGCUAGUAUAUAUCCAAAUGGCAAGUUGCUCCUCCUUUCGGUUUUGCCGAGAGAGCGAUGCGUUUGAGCCAUUGAGCGAUGGGCAGGAAAAACUUGACUUUUUCUCCUGCCAUGGGGGGGCGCUCUUUUGGGGAGUAAAAAUUCCUUCACAAAUGUGUUGAUGGCUGGACAUUGCAUCAUCCUAGAAAACUUGGAGGCCAGUGAGGACAAAAAUAAAAAGUAAUAAGACUUUUAAGACUGUGGAUUUUUGGGUUAUCUUUGGCGCCCCCUAGAACCUAAACCGUGGGGUGCAGCGUCAUGAUUUGUACAACUUUGAAUGGCCAUGGGUUGUAGAUUGGCCUGAGCAACUAUGGUGUCAGUGGGACGAAAGCCUUCGGAGGAGUUAGCGAAAUUCCAAUGUGUGCGAAUCGGCAAAAAAUGCAAAAUAGCCCUUUUACCGUACAUUAUACAGAUACGCGCUCUUUGACUUUUUCGUAGAUCUAAUUGAGAUACACAUGAUUGUUAAUUUUUGUGUCAAUAUGACAAAGAGUUCAGGCGUGACACUCAACAAUGUGUAUUUUCACCUUAGGGGACAAGAAAAAAUUGACUUUUUUCUCCUGCCAUGGGGGGGGCGCUCUUUUGGGGAGUAAAAAUUCCUUCACACAUGUGUUGAUGGCUGGACAUAGCAUCAUCCUCGAAAACUUGGAGGCCAGUGAGGACAAAAAUAAAAAGUAAUAAGACUUUUAAGAAUGUGGAUUUUUGGGUUAUCUUUGGCGCCCCCUAGAACAUAAACCGUGGGGUGCAACGUCAUGAUUUGUACAACUUUGAAUGGCCAUGGGGUGUAGAUUGGCCUGAGCAAAUUUGGUGCCGGUGGAACGAAAGCCUUCGGAGGAGUUAGCGAAAUUCCAAUGUGUGCGGAUCGGCAAAAAAUGCGAAAUAGCCCUUUAACCGUACAUUUGACAGAUACGCCCGCACUGACUUUUUUGUAGAUCUUAUUGAGAUACACAUGUGUGUCAAAUUUUGUGUCAUUUUGACAAAGCGUACAGGCGUCAGGUGAGUUUUCACCAUAGGGGGCGCUAUGGAGCCAUUUUUCAUUUUUUUGUUUGGGCGACUUCAGAAUAUCAAAUUUUUCACCAGGCCCGGUCGUCCUGCCAAAUUUCCUGAGUUUUCGCCAGUGGGAAGUGGGCCAUUUUCCAGUUUAAAGCGGAGGAAAAAUAACGAAAGAAGAAUCCAUCAGGAACAAGAGGGCUCUCGCAGCUGCUUAGCAGCUACGCUCGGGCCCUAACUAGGACCCCGUUGGGGCACUGGCGGGCCCGAGCUGUGUCGCGUCCCCCCCCAACGCGCUGCCUCCCCGUCCCAUUUGUUUCCUCUGGCCAUCGCCCUCUCUGGUAACGCCCAUCACUGCAAAGACCCUUUUCCUUCAUCGGCGUUUGCUGUUCUUCCUGCCAGUGCGUGUUGCUUUCACUUACACUUGCCACAGCCAGCCUCGUGAGUGCCUAGCCUAUUGGAUAUCACUGUCAUCUACACAGGACAGUCAUAACCUUUCUAUUAAUACUUUGUUUUUUAAUUUCACAUUAAUUUCCAUAUUGUAUAAAUGACUGGAAAAAACUUGAGCCCCUGCCCCUGUAUAAUCAUGUGCACGUCCCUGUUCUAGCUCCAAGGUGAAUCUUCACUGCUCAUGUUCUCCUCAGAAAUAGUCACCUCACUCCCCUCAGGUUACUGUACACAUGCACCAACUAUCUGCUUCAGGUUUGGAUGGAACUUCAUGGUUGUCUUUUGGAGAAAUGAACAGUCAAGUUGUGUUUGAAAUUUGAUUUUUUUCAGGGGCAAAAGGAAGCCUCUGCAUUCUUGUCAAAUAUGUAAACAGCAUGUUUUUGCAGGUGCUAAAAAACAGACUCUGACUGUGUGUGUGUGUGUGUGUGUGUGUGUGUGUGUGUGUGUGUGUGUGUGUGUGUGUGUGUUGGCGUGUGUGUAUAUGUGUGUGUAUCCUGCAGUACUCUGUACUCCUGCAGUGGCCAUAAAGACUUUUAAGAAUGUGGAUUUUUGGGUCAUCUUUGGCGCCCCCUAGAACUGCAGUACUCUGUACUCCUGCAGUGGCCAAAAUGACUUUUAAGAAUGUGGAUUUUUGGGUCAUCUUUGGCGCCCCCUAGAACGUAAACCGUGGGGUGCAGCGUCAUGAUUUUUACAACUUUGAAUGGCCAUGGAGUGUAGAUUGCCCUGAGCAAAUUUGGUAUCAGUGGGACGAAAGCCUUAGGAGGAGAUAGCCACAUUCCAAUGUGUGCGAAUCGGCAAAAAAUGCGAAAUAGCCCUUUAACCGUACAUUAUACAGAUACGCGCUCUUUGACUUUUUCGUAGAUCUAAUUGAGAUACACAUGAUUGUCAAUUUUUGUGUCAAUAUGACAAAGCGUUCAGGCGUGACACUCAACAAUGUGUAUUUUCAUGUAAGGGGACAAGAAAAAAUUGACUUUUUUCUCCUGCCAUGGGGGGGCGCUCUUUUGGGGAGUAAAAAUUCCUUCAAAAAUGUGUUGAUGGCUGGACAUUGCAUCAUCCUAGAAAACUUGGAGGGCAGUGAGGACAAAAAUAAAAAGUUAUAAGACUUUUAAGAAUGUGGAUUUUUGGGUUAUCUUUGGCGCCCCCUAGAACCUAAACCGUGGGGUGCAGCGUCAUGAUUUGUACAACUUUUAAUGGCCAUGGGGUGUAGACUGGCCUGAGCAAAUGUGGUGCCGGUGGAACGAAAGCCUUCGGAGGAGUUAGCGAAAUUCCAAUGUGUGCGGAUCGGCAAAAAAUGCGAAAUAACCCUUUAACCGUACAUUUGACAGAUACGCCCGCACUGACUUUUUUGUAGAUCUUAUUGAGAUACAUAUGUGUGUCAAUUUUUGUGUCAAUAUGACAAAACGUACAGACGUGACAGUCAAUAGUGUGAAUUUCCACCUUAGGGGGCGCUAUGGAGCCAUUUUGCAUUUUAUUGUUUGGGCGACUUCAGAAUAUCGAAUUUUUCACCAGGCCCGGUCGUCCUGCCAAAUUUCAUGAGUUUUCGCCAGUGGGAAGUGGGCCAUUUUCCAGUUUAAAGCGGAGGAAAAAUAAUAACUAGGGCCCCGUUGGGGCACUGGCGGGCCCGAGCCGCGUCGCGCCGCCCCCAGCGCGACCGCCUCCCUGAUCCAUUAGGUUUAAAUAGAAAAAGCAUUAAAAUAUGUUAGGAUUAUAGCAUAUGACAAAUGUGUGCCUCUCAGUGGCCAUAACUACUUUGUCUGCUGGCUCUGCAGUCGAUUGACGCUCCCCAGCGUUCAAGUCACAUGACAAAUUUAACCGGAUGUAGCUGCAAGACGGAGCCUCGUUGACUCUCCGUUUCAACUUAUCUCCAAAGUGAGGACCUUAAACUAUGUACCAGUUUUUAAAUUGUGUUGAUAGGCCAAAUAAAACCAGAGUUAUGAUAAAUUAUGUCUGCGAUACUUUUUUUCUGCUUAUUUUGAUCACGUUCGGCGCUAGAUCGCACUGUAUGAGACAGGAAAACAUAGCAUGCAGACAUUAGCGACAGCUCUUACAGGCGGAAAAGGCUUGCCAAAAGAAAAAACAAAAACACACCACAACAUCUCUCCUAUUGGUGGAAAACUUCACCACAACAACCAAUCCAAAAUUAUAUGGUGACUGAUUGACAAGGGGCGGGCGCUUACGUUCUUCCUGCAACAUGAGAAGGGAUGGAGGGACUCUCAGCAGGGAUGCAGUCUGGGACACGUAGUUGCAAACCUAGCGACUUUGUUGUUAGAUUCAAUGACUUUUCAGACCCCCUAACGACUUUUUUUUUUAAAGAAAGGGACUUUUAUCGACUUCUUCUGGAGUUUAGAGACUCUGACAUGAAGCAGGCUUUCCUUACUGAGGAGUUAGCAACGCUGCUAAGGGUGCAGAGCCACACAUGCACUCAGAGCUCUGCAUGGGAGACUGAAGCUGACAGAGCUGCAGCAGUUAGCAGGUUUCACCCUCAGAGACCACCAGGGGUUCAUGUUGAGGCAUUUUCAGUUUGUUUUAUUGUUUUUUUGCCAUCGACACUGUCAGCACAAUCUGCAGUUACACUAACAAAAAUGCUGGACAAAACAAAGAAUUAUGGAAAAAUUACACAUGGACUAACAUAGAGGAGGAUCUACACAAGUUUUUUACAUCAUGUUUUACAUCAUGCAUCAUUUACAUCAUGUUUUUUUUUGUAGUGGCAUAAAUAAAAAGUGACAUUUGUGAGACUAUACAGUGUUUUGUAAAUAAUUUUACAAAGAACGCCUGGGCCAUUGCCUGCAUUUUGAUGUAAAUAGAUUUAAAUUACUAUGUUCUUUGUUAAAAAUUUGCAAAUGUUUUGAAGUUUAAAAUUUUUAUUUGAUGUUUAAGUUUUAAAACAGUUCAUCACACAUAUUUGUGGUUUUCACAGUAAAAAUGUUACUUUUUUCCACUCGGAUAUUAUGUUUUGUGUGUGAAUUUGGGUCCAUUGUGUAAAAACAGUAUGUGAAAAUGAUAAAAUAACUGUAAAGUCACACAGGUGAGGUUGUGCUGAAAAAAAUGAUACCAGGCAAGGCAAGGUAAAAAAAUUUUAAGAGGAAAUAUAAAGGUAAAAUCUAAAGUAGUCAAAAACGGCCAAUAGUGACUCCCAGUCUCCAUAGACAAGUCCCUUUGGCGCCACUCAGUGGGCAAAACUACUUUGUCUGCUGUAAUGUAUAUUUGGGUCAUCUUUGGCGCCCCCUAGAACCUAAACCGUGGGGUGCAGCGUCAUGAUUUGUACAACUUUUAAUGGCCAUGGGGUGUAGAUUGGCCUGAGCAAAUGUGGUGCCGGUGGAACGAAAGCCUUCGGAGGAGUUAGCGAAAUUCCAAUGUGUGCGGAUCGGCAAAAAAUGCGAAAUAGCCCUUUAACCGUACAUUAUACAGAUACGCGCUCUUUGACUUUUUCGUAGAUCUUAUUGAGAUACACGUGUGUGUCAAAUUUUGUGUCAAUAUGACAAAGCGUUCAGGCAUGACACUCAACAAUGUGUAUUUUCACCUUAGGGGACAAGAAAAAAUGGACUUUUUUCUCCUGCCAUGGGGGGCGCUCUUUUGGGGAGUAAAAAUUUCUUCACAAAUGUGUUGAUGGCUGGACAUUGCAUCAUCCUAGAAAACUUGGAGGCCAGUGAGGACAAAAAUAAAAAGUUAUAAGACUUUUAAGAAUGUGGAUUUUUGGGUUAUCUUUGGCGCCCCCUAGAAUGUAAACCGUGGGGUGCAGCGCCAUGAUUUGUACAACUUUUAAUGGCCAUGGGGUGUAGAUUGUCCUGAGCAAAUUUGUUGCCGGUGGAACGAAAGCCUUCGGAGGAGUUAGCGAAAUUCCAAUGUGUGCGGAUCGGCAAAAAAUGCGAAAUAGCCCUUUAACCGUACAUUUGACAGAUACGCCAGCACUGACUUUUUUGUAGAUCUUAUUGAGAUACACAUGUGUGUCAAAUUUUGUGUCAUUUUGACAAAGCGUACAGGCGUCAGGUGAGUUUUCACCAUAGGGGGCGCUAUGGAGCCAUUUUUCAUUUUUUUGUUUGGGCGACUUCAGAAUAUCGAAUUUUUCACCAGGCCCGGUCGUCCUGCCAAAUUUCCUGAGUUUUCGCCAGUGGGAAGUGGGCCAUUUUCCAGUUUAAAGCGGAGGAAAAAUAACGAAAGAAGAAUCCAUCAGGAACAAGAGGGCUCUCGCAGCUGCUUAGCAGCUACGCUCGGGCCCUAAUAAUAAUAACAAAAGAAGAAUCCAUCAGGAACAAGAGGGCUCUCGCAGCUGCUUAGCAGCUACGCUCGGGCCCUAACGAAAGAAGGAAACAUGCAGGAACAAGAGGGCUCUCGCAGCUGCUUAGCAGCUACGCUCGGGCCCUAAUAAUAACUAGGGCCCCGGUGGGGCACUGUCGGGCCCGAGCCGCGUCGCGCCGCCCCCAGCGCGACCGCCUCCACCUCCCGAUCGCGUCACACUCUAGGUCCAAAGAUGGAGUGCGCACUUGUCUGUGGUCAUUUCCCAUUAUAAUGAAUGGGAGGCGCAGUUUCUACCAAAACACUCGCUGCAGACAAACUACAUGUCCUAUUUGAAAAAAGUCUGGACCAUGAGUGAGGGCACAAACACAGCUAGGAUAUAUCCAAAUGGCAAGUUGCUCCUCCUUUCGCUUUUGCCGAGAGAGCGAUGCGAUUGAGCCAUUGAGCGAUGGGCAGGAAAAACUUGACUUUUUCUCCUGCCAUGGGGGGAGGGGGGGGGAUGUGGAUUCUUUUAAGAAUGUGGAUAUUUGGGUCAUCUUUGGCACCCCCUAGAACGUAAACCGUGGGGUGCAGCGUCAUGAUUUUUACAACUUUGAAUGGCCAUGGGGUGUAGAUUGGCCUGAGCAAAUUUGGUG